rnacentral:lncRNA from 1 species
UCUCUCUCACUCUCUCUCUCUCUUCUACUUAAGAAAAACUUCAAAUAUUAUCUCUGUAGUUUUAUCUUUUUUAGUACUCUAUAGUUUAAAGUGUAUCAAGUUAGUACUCUGUGGUUUUAUUUUUAUCUUGUCAUCAGCUUUUUCGUCAAUAUUUUAUUAAAUUACAUACAAAAACUUCAGAUAUCCUAUCUAGUUUUAUCAAAUAUUCACUUAAUUAGUACCCUUUAGUUUUAACUUUAUAAUUAUUUUAACGAAAAAAAUUAGUGAAAUGGAUAAUAAUUCAAAAAAAAAUCACAAGACACUAAUUUGAUAUAAUUUAAACCAGAGAAUACUAAAGGAAAAAAAUACAAAACUACAUGAAUAAUAUUUGAAGUUUUCUCUCUACUUAAAUACAUCUUUUACUAUUCCUUUCUCU